CUCAGGCACUUUGCUCUCCAGGUGCUUGGCAGUGUAGAGGGUGGUGAAGAUGCUGUACCCCCUCAAGUAUCUCACCCUUCUCUGCCUGUCUGCAUCUAGGGCUCUUCUUCGACCCGAGC
rnacentral:precursor_RNA from 15 species